GAUGAACGCUGGCGGCGUGCCUAAUACAUGCAAGUCGAGCGAACGGACGAGAAGCUUGCUUCUCUGAUGUUAGCGGCGGACGGGUGAGUAACACGUGGAUAACCUACCUAUAAGACUGGGAUAACUUCGGGAAACCGGAGCUAAUACCGGAUAAUAUUUUGAACCGCAUGGUUCAAAAGUGAAAGACGGUCUUGCUGUCACUUAUAGAUGGAUCCGCGCUGCAUUAGCUAGUUGGUAAGGUAACGGCUUACCAAGGCAACGAUGCAUAGCCGACCUGAGAGGGUGAUCGGCCACACUGGAACUGAGACACGGUCCAGACUACUACGGGAGGCAGCAGUAGGGAAUCGUCCGCAAUGGGCGAAAGCCUGACGGAGCAACGCCGCGUGAGUGAUGAAGGUCUUCGGAUCGUAAAACUCUGUUAUUAGGGAAGAACAUAUGUGUAAGUAACUGUGCACAUCUUGACGGUACCUAAUCAGAAAGCCACGGCUAACUACGUG
rnacentral:rRNA from 1 species